rnacentral:rRNA from 1 species
GAGUUUGAUCCUGGCUCAGGACGAACGCUGGCGGCGUGCCUAAUACAUGCAAGUCGAGCGAGCGGAACUAACAGAUUUACUUCGGUAAUGACGUUAGGAAAGCGAGCGGCGGAUGGGUGAGUAACACGUGGGGAACCUGCCCCAUAGUCUGGGAUACCACUUGGAAACAGGUGCUAAUACCGGAUAAGAAAGCAGAUCGCAUGAUCAGCUUUUAAAAGGCGGCGUAAGCUGUCGCUAUGGGAUGGCCCCGCGGUGCAUUAGCUAGUUGGUAAGGUAAAGGCUUACCAAGGCGAUGAUGCAUAGCCGAGUUGAGAGACUGAUCGGCCACAUUGGGACUGAGACACGGCCCAAACUCCUACGGGAGGCAGCAGUAGGGAAUCUUCCACAAUGGACGCAAGUCUGAUGGAGCAACGCCGCGUGAGUGAAGAAGGUUUUCGGAUCGUAAAGCUCUGUUGUUGGUGAAGAAGGAUAGAGGUAGUAACUGGCCUUUAUUUGACGGUAAUCAACCAGAAAGUCACGGCUAACUACGUGCCGGCAGCCGCGGUAAUACGUAGGUGGCAAGCGUUGUCCGGAUUUAUUAGGCGUAAAGCGAGCGCAGGCGGAAGAAUAAGUCUGAUGUGAAAGCCCUCGGCUUAACCGAGGAAGUGCAUCGGAAACUGUUUUUCUUGAGUGCAGAAGAGGAGAGUGGAACUCCAUGUGUGGCGGUGAAAUGCGUAGA